GAGUUUGAUCUUGGCUCAGAUUGAACGCUGGCGGCAGGCCUAACACAUGCAAGUCGAGCGGUAGAGAGAAGCUUGCUUCUCUUGAGAGCGGCGGACGGGUGAGUAAUGCCUAGGAAUCUGCCUGGUAGUGGGGGAUAACGCUCGGAAACGGACGCUAAUACCGCAUACGUCCUACGGGAGAAAGCAGGGGACCUUCGGGCCUUGCGCUAUCAGAUGAGCCUAGGUCGGAUUAGCUAGUUGGUGAGGUAAUGGCUCACCAAGGCGACGAUCCGUAACUGGUCUGAGAGGAUGAUCAGUCACACUGGAACUGAGACACGGUCCAGACUCCUACGGGAGGCAGCAGUGGGGAAUAUUGGACAAUGGGCGAAAGCCUGAUCCAGCCAUGCCGCGUGUGUGAAGAAGGUCUUCGGAUUGUAAAGCACUUUAAGUUGGGAGGAAGGGCAGUAAAUUAAUACUUUGCUUGUUUGACGUUACGACAGAAUAAGCACCGGCUAACU
rnacentral:rRNA from 1 species